UAUCGUCAUUCAGUAUCAUUCCUUGCCACCCUUAUUUCCUGGCCGGCUCCCAACCGGUAUGUGUUCCCUCUUUUCUGACAUUGGGCUGACUCCAUUCAUCCUUCCCACUUAUCCAUUCUUUGGGUUAUGAGAUAUUGGUAGCUCCUUUCUGAUCUCAUUAAAAGAGAAAUAUGACAUACGAGGCAUACCUGAUUUGUGUAAAAGUUCACACUAAGUUUAAUUCUCAUAAAAGUUCAUAUUAAGUUUACAUCUACUUGUGCUAUUACAUCACUUUUUAUUUUCCAUACGCUGCACUCAGAUUAUAUAACUCUCUAGUGAGACCACAUCUGGAGUAUUUUGUGCUGUUCUGGGGUAUCAUGUAUAACUCUGUACGUAGAAUUCUUACUAGAACAUUGUGUACACACAAAAACAGAAAUGUGUGUACACACAAAAAAUUCAGAUGCAUAAAACAGCAUAAAUGAAGCUCCUUGCACUUUCCCUUUAUAAAUCCCAAUCAGCAUGAAUUUUAACGCACAU